ACAGAUACUGCUUGAGGCACGCACAGCCCUGAUGUGACUGUGAUUUCUGAGCCUCUUACCCAAUACAUUGGGUGAUGGAGUGGGGUCGGGCUUGCUUUCUCAAACCCAGAAGCAGCAUUACCUGGAGCCCUGCCUAUACCCCACAAUUCCAACCUCAACAUGACUAGAUGCUGUAGCACAGAUGGCUACAGCAUGGAAACCUGAAUCUAGUGUCUUUAGCGUCCUCUUCCACCUCCCUACCAUCUUGCAUUUCCAAUGAUGUGUCACUGGUGAUCUGCUAUUUUCAGAUCAACUAUCUUUCUUAAAUUAUUCAGAGACUGAGCAUCAACAAGAGCACUGCGGAUCUCAAUUCUUAGGUUCUAGCUCUUAGUUUUAACAGCAAACUGGUUUUGCCAAGAAAACAGCCAACCUGAAUCCUUGAGACGUGAAAACAAGACUUAGCUUCCUGACUAAGAAUGUGCAUUCUAAAUAUGUCAUCAUCACUUAGUAUGUACUGUGGAAACUUCACUGAACUCAGUGGGAUGACAGUGCCCUAACGUGGGAUUCCAAGUUUUUAAUUUUCAGCUGUACAUGCCAGCCCUUGGAUUCAUAAUAAACUGGGAAUAAAAACAAUAAAGAUUGGGUGUUCCAUUUGCUAAGAUGAGAAGUUUCAGACACCUGUGCUUGAACUCAUGCAAUCAGAGAACUUCUGUUUAAAUGCUGACCCAUUCCCCUAAGCAAAAGCUAAUUCCUUUGUCUUCAGAUGUACAAACUAGUCUUAAAAUGAAAAACUUUAGAAAAUGCCAAACUGAGGGAAAAAUAGGAAUAAAAUUGCAUGACAAUGAAGAAAAAAGUAAAAGCAUCUUUCAGUUAAAAAUAGGUACCUGUGAUCUUGGGCAACACAAGGCUGGUGAAUAACUUCGUCAUGAUGACACAAUUCAAUCAGUGUUAGUUUACAGUUCUAAA